UACGUAGGGGGCAAGCGUUGUCCGGAUUUAUUGGGCGUAAAGCGCAUGUAGGCGGCCUGGAAGGUCCGUUGUGAAAACUCGAGGCUCAACCUCGAGACGUCGAUGGAAACCCCUAGGCUAGAGUCCGGAAGAGGAGAGUGGAGUUCCCGGUGUAGCGGUGAAAUGCGCAGAUAUCGGGAAGAACACCCGUGGCUAAGGCGGCUCUCUAGUACGGUACUGACGCUGAGACGCGAAAGCGUGGGGAGCGAACAGG
rnacentral:rRNA from 1 species